AGUGAACGCUGGCGGUAGGCCUAACACAUGCAAGUCGAACGGCAGCACAGUAAGAGCUUGCUCUUACGGGUGGCGAGUGGCGGACGGGUGAGGAAUACAUCGGAAUCUACUUUUUCGUGGGGGAUAACGUAGGGAAACUUACGCUAAUACCGCAUACGACCUACGGGUGAAAGCAGGGGAUCUUCGGACCUUGCGCGAUUGCAUGAGCCGAUGUCGGAUUAGCUAGUUGGCGGGGUAAAGGCCCACCAAGGCGACGAUCCGUAGCUGGUCUGAGAGGAUGAUCAGCCACACUGGAACUGAGACACGGUCCAGACGCCUACGGGAGGCAGCAGUGGGGAAUAUUGGACAAUGGGCGCAAGCCUGAUCCAGCCAUACCGCGUGGGUGAAGAAGGCCUUCGGGUUGUAAAGCCCUUUUGUUGGGAAAGAAAAGCAGCAGGUUAAUACCCCGCUGUUCUGACGGUACCCAAAGAAUAAGCACCGGCUAACUUCGUG
rnacentral:rRNA from 1 species